CGGUAAUUCCAGCUCCAAUAGCGUAUAUUAAAGUUGUUGCGGUAAAAAAGCUCGUAGUUGGAUUUCUGUUGAGAACGACCGGUCCACACAACGUGUGCGCAUCUGGUUCGGUCUCGGCAUCCUCUCGAAAGACGUCUCUGCGCUUGAUUGCGUGGAACGGAUUCCGGGACUUUUACUUUGAGGAAAUUAGAGUGUUCACGGCAGGCUAUCGCCAGGAUACAUUAGCAUGGAAUAAUACUAUAGGAUCUUGAUCCUAUUUUGUUGGUUUCUAGGAGCAAGAUAAUGAUUAAUAGGGACAAUUGGGGGCAUUCGUAUCAACACGUCAGAGGUGGAAUUCUUGGAUUGUGUUGCGACGAACUACUGCGAAAGCAUUUGCCAAGGAUGUUUUCAUUGAUCAAGAACGAAAGUUAGGGGAUCGAAGACGAUUAGAUACCGUCGUAGUCUUAACCAUAAACUAUGCCAACUAGAGAUGGGACAUCGUUCACAUACGACUUGUUCCGCACCUUAUGAGAUAUCAAAGUCUUUGGGUUCCGGGGGGAGUAUGGUCGCAAGUCUGAAACUUAAAGGAAUUGACGGAAGGGCACCACCAGGAGUGGAGCCUGCGGCUUAAUUUGACUCAACACGGGGAAACUCACCAGGUCCAGACAUAAUAAGGAUUGACAGAUUGAUAGCUCUUUCUUGAUUUUAUGGGUGGUGGUGCAUGGCCGUUCUUAGUUCGUGGAGUGAUUUGUCUGCUUAAUUGCGUUAACGAACGAGACCUUAACCUGCUAAAUAGGAGCGCAUAUCUCCGGAUAAGCGCCUUUCUUCUUAGAGGGACUUUAUGCGUUUCAGCAUGAGGAAGUUUGAGGCUAAAACAGGUCUGUGAUGCCCUUAGAUGUUCUGGGCUGCACGCGCGCUACACUGAUGCGUUCAACGAGUGUACAACCUUGCCCGAUAGGGUUGGGUAACCUUUUGAACACGCAUCGUGAUGGGGAUAGAGUAUUGUAAUUAUUACUCUUCAACGAGGAAUUCCUAGUAAUGAUGGUUCAUCAGACCGUCGUGAUUACGUCCCUGCCCUUUGUACACACCGCCC
rnacentral:rRNA from 1 species